rnacentral:piRNA from 1 species
UGUACAGGGAAGCGUUGAUGGUACAAG